rnacentral:rRNA from 1 species
GACGAACGCUGGCGGCGUGCUUAACACAUGCAAGUCGAACGGAAAGGCCCUGCUUUUGUGGGGUGCUCGAGUGGCGAACGGGUGAGUAACACGUGAGUAACCUGCCCUUGACUUUGGGAUAACUUCAGGAAACUGGGGCUAAUACCGGAUAGGAGCUCCUGCUGCAUGGUGGGGGUUGGAAAGUUUCGGCGGUUGGGGAUGGACUCGCGGCGUAUCAGCUUGUUGGUGGGGUAGUGGCUUACCAAGGCUUUGACGGGUAGCCGGCCUGAGAGGGUGACCGGCCACAUUGGGCCUGAGAUACGGCCCAGACUCCUACGGGAGGCAGCAGUGGGGAAUAUUGCACAAUGGGCGGAAGCCUGAUGCAGCAACGCCGCGUGCGGGAUGACGGCCUUCGGGUUGUAAACCGCUUUCGCCUGUGACGAAGCGUGAGUGACGGUAAUGUGUAAAGAAGCACCGGCUAACUACGUG